UCCAAAACAGUGUGUGAAGAGCCGGG
rnacentral:piRNA from 1 species